CUACUUAUUAGGGGGGUCAAACUACUGAAAUUCAACAAUUAAUCAAUAAAUAUUACAAUUUCAUGCCUAAAUUAGCUUAAAUUUCAAAAUUGGUUGUAGCUUAAAUUUCAAAAUUGAUGUGGGCCAACCGAUCCACAUGCUUUCUCUCUACCUCCGCCACUGAUUGGUGUUAUCUAGAUUUUAUUUUAUCUGCAUGCGUUUAGAAAAUAUUU
rnacentral:lncRNA from 1 species